AGUGAACGCUGGCGGCGUGCUUAACACAUGCAAGUCGAACGAGAACGGAAUAUAGCUUGCUAUAUUUGUCAGCUAAGUGGCGCACGGGUGAGUAAUGUAUAGAUAACCUGCCCUAAGGAAGGGAAUAAAAGUUGGAAACAAUUGCAAAUGCCCUAAUUGCCUUAAAUAAAAAAGAAUGCAAGGGAAACGCUUUAGUGCUUAAGGAUGGGUCUGUAUGGUAUCAGCUUGUUGGUGAGGUAAUGGCUCCCCAAGGCUAUGACGCCUAACUGGUUUGAGAGGAUGAUCAGUCACACUGGAACUGAGACACGGUCCAGACUCCUACGGGAGGCAGCAGUGGGGAAUAUUGCACAAUGGACGAAAGUCUGAUGCAGCAACGCCGCGUGGAGGAUGACACAUUUCGGUGCGUAAACUCCUUUUAUAUAGGAAGAUAAUGACGGUACUAUAUGAAUAAGCACCGGCUAACUCCGUGCCAGCAGCCGCCGUAA
rnacentral:rRNA from 1 species